rnacentral:rRNA from 1 species
UACGAAGGGGGCUAGCGUUGCUCGGAAUCACUGGGCGUAAAGGGUGCGUAGGCGGGUUUUUAAGUCAGGGGUGAAAUCCUGGAGCUCAACUCCAGAACUGCCUUUGAUACUGAAGAUCUUGAGUCCGGGAGAGGUGAGUGGAACUGCGAGUGUAGAGGUGAAAUUCGUAGAUAUUCGCAAGAACACCAGUGGCGAAGGCGGCUCACUGGCCCGGUACUGACGCUGAGACACGAAAGCGUGGGGAGCAAACAGG